CCUCUGCCACCGCUGAGAUAGCAGGACCAACCCGUCCACUUCCUCCUCCUCAGCCUACUCAAGAUGAAGACGACAAGGGUGAAGACCUUUAUGCUGAGCUACUUCUGCGAAAUGAACACCCAAAAUUGACUUCGUAGUCUAACGGUCUCCUUAGGCUGUGAGCCCCUCAAGGCAGUUGUGUCUGGCACAGCUUUUGUUCCCUGUGCCUUGUUCAGCGCCUGCCCUCUGUUAGGGGCUCAGGAAAUGGCAGUGGCCAAUGCCAGGACCCCUUGAGGACACCCAUUUCUCAGUGGCCACCGUGGAGCACCAGGAAAUGCUGCCAGCGAUGGAUGUGACUCUGUUACUCAUUUAGACUUUAAUCCUAAAUGGAUAAAGCAACCUUUCUGUCCAACGGUGAACCAGCCCCGUGAAACAUCUACGAAGCAUACUGCUGGAAGCUUGGAAUGCAGAGAAAAAUAAACUACACUUGCUGCCUUCCAGGAGCUCCCUGUUAGCGGAAGAGAGAGAAAAGCAAAAUUUUAAAAAUAUCUGAUAUGCUCAAAUAAUUGCUUUAAUAUGGAUCAGAAUAUAUUCCAGCCAUUCUAGAGGCUUUCAGAUAAUGUUUAUCAUAAACUAGAGUCUCUCUCUCUCUCCCCUCGUUCUCUGUUUCUCUCUCAC